rfam:Monodelphis domestica chromosome 5, whole genome shotgun sequence.
AUGCAGGUUUUAUUUAAAACCACAUCAAUAUAUCAAGACAAAGAUG